GACGAACGCUGGCGGCGUGCUUAACACAUGCAAGUCGAACGGAAAGGCCCUGCUUUUGUGGGGUGCUCGAGUGGCGAACGGGUGAGUAACACGUGAGUAACCUGCCCUUGACUUUGGGAUGACUUCAGGAAACUGGGGCUAAUACCGGAUAGGAGCUCCUGCUGCAUGGUGGGGGUUGGAAAGUUUCGGCGGUUGGGGAUGGACUCGCGGCUUAUCAGCUUGUUGGUGGGGUAGUGGCUUACCAAGGCUUUGACGGGUAGCCGGCCUGAGAGGGUGACCGGCCACAUUGGGACUGAGAUACGGCCCAGACUCCUACGGGAGGCAGCAGUGGGGAAUAUUGCACAACGGGCGGAAGCCUGAUGCAGCAACGCCGCGUGCGGGAUGACGGCCUUCGGGUUGUAAACCGCUUUCGCCUGUGACGAAGCGUGAGUGACGGUAAUGGGUAAAGAAGCACCGGCUAACUACGUGCCAGCAGCCGCGGUGAUACGUAGGGUGCGAGCGUUGUCCGGGUUUAUUGGGCGUAAAGGGCUCGUAGGUGGUUGAUCGCGUCGGAAGUGUAAUCUUGGGGCUUAACCCUGAGCGUGCUUUCGAUACGGGUUGACUUGAGGAAGGUAGGGGAGAAUGGAAUUCCUGGUGGAGCGGUGGAAUGCGCAGAUAUCAGGAGGAACACCAGUGGCGAAGGCGGUUCUCUGGGCCUUUCCUGACGCUGAGGAGCGAAAGCGUGGGGAGCGAACAGGCUUAGAUACCCUGGUAGUCCACGCUGUAAACGGUGGGUACUAGGUGUGGGGUCCAUUCCACGGGUUCCGUGCCGUAGCUAACGCUUUAAGUACCCCGCCUGGGGAGUACGGCCGCAAGGCUAAAACUCAAAGGAAUCGACGGGGCCCCGCACAAGCGGCGGAGCAUGCGGAUUAAUUCGAUGCAACGCGUAGAACCUUACCUGGGUUUGACAUGGAUCGGGAGUGCUCAGAGAUGGGUGUGCCUCUUUUGGGGUCGGUUCACAGGUGGUGCAUGGCUGUCGUCAGCUCGUGUCGUGAGAUGUUGGGUUAAGUCCCGCAACGAGCGCAACCCUUGUUCACUGUUGCCAGCACGUUAUGGUGGGGACUCAGUGGAGACCGCCGGGGUCAACUCGGAGGAGGGUGGGGAUGACGUCAAGUCAUCAUGCCCCUUAUGUCCAGGGCUUCACGCAUGCUACAAUGGCUGGUACAGAGAGUGGCGAGCCUGUGAGGGUGAGCGAAUCUCGGAAAGCCGGUCUCAGUUCGGAUUGGGGUCUGCAACUCGACCUCAUGAAGUCGGAGUCGCUAGUAAUCGCAGAUCAGCAACGCUGCGGUGAAUACGUUCCCGGG
rnacentral:rRNA from 1 species